GUGGGGAAUUUUGGACAAUGGGGGCAACCCUGAUCCAGCCAUGCCGCGUGCGGGAAGAAGGCCUUCGGGUUGUAAACCGCUUUUGUCAGGGAAGAAAUCCUUUGGGUUAAUACCUCGGAGGGAUGACGGUACCUGAAGAAUAAGCACCGGCUAACUACGUGCCAGCAGCCGCGGUAAUACGUAGGGUGCGAGCGUUAAUCGGAAUUACUGGGCGUAAAGCGUGCGCAGGCGGUUUUGUAAGAUCGAUGUGAAAUCCCCGGGCUCAACCUGGGGACUGCAUUGGUGACUGCAAGGCUGGAGUGCGGCAGAGGGGGAUGGAAUUCCGCGUGUAGCAGUGAAAUGCGUAGAUAUGCGGAGGAACACCGAUGGCGAAGGCAAUCCCCUGGGCCUGCACUGACGCUCAUGCACGAAAGCGUGGGGAGCAAACAGGAUUAGAAACCCGAGUAGUCC
rnacentral:rRNA from 1 species